UACGGAGGAUGCAAGCGUUAUCCGGAUUUAUUGGGUUUAAAGGGUGCGCAGGUUGUUUGAUAAGUCAGUGGUGAAAGUCUGUCGCUUAACGGUAGGAUUGCCAUUGAUACUGUUGGACUUGAAUAUGGAUGAGGUAGGCAGAAUGUGUAGUGUAGCGGUGAAAUGCAUAGAUAUUACACAGAACACCGAUUGCGAAGGCAGCUUACUAAUCCAUCAUUGACGCUGAGGCACGAAAGCGUGGGGAUCAAA
rnacentral:rRNA from 1 species